GAUGAACGCUAGCUACAGGCUUAACACAUGCAAGUCGAGGGGAAACGCCAUCGAAAGCUUGCUUUUGAUGGGCGUCGACCGGCGCACGGGAGAGUAACGCGUCUCCAACCUGACCAUCACUUGGGGUUAACAUUGCGAAAGUAAGACUAAUACACAAUGAUAUCUCUAGAAGUCAUCAGAAAGAGAUGAAAGAUUUAUCGGUGAUGGAUGGGGACGCGUCUGAUUAGCUAGUUGGCGGGGUAACGGCUCACCAAGGCAACGAUCAGUAGGGGUUCUGAGAGUAGGGUCCCCCGCAUUGGAACUGAGGCACGGACCAAAAUCCUACGGAGCACAGCAGUGACUAAUACUAUGGGAGGAACGAGAGCCUGAACCAGCCGAGUGAGGUGCAAGAAGACGCGGCUAGUAGUUGUAUGCUACUUUUAUAAGAGAAUAGUGUAAGAGUCUUGACUCUUUUUGAAGGUACCUAAUGAAUAAGGACCGGCUAAUUCCGUG
rnacentral:rRNA from 1 species